AGAAUGCUGGCGGCGUGCUUACACAUGCAAGUCGAGCGGUAAAGGCCCUUCGGGGUACACGAGCGGCGGACGGCUGAGUAACGCGUGGGAACAUGCCCCAAAGUGAGGAAUAAGCUCCAGAAAUGGAGUCUAAUGCCGCAUAUGAUCUUCGGAUUAAAGGAUUUAUCCGUUUGGGAGUGGCCUGCGUACGAUUAGUUGUUGGUGAGGUAAUGGUUACCAAGGCUACGAUCGUUAGCUGGUCUGAGAGGAUGACCAGCAGACUGGAACUGAGACACGGUCCAGACUCCUACGGGAGGCAGCAGUGAGGAAUAUUGGACAAUGGACGAAAGUCUGAACCAGCCAUGCCGCGUGAAGGAUUAAGGCCCUCUGGGUUGUAAACUUCUUUUAUCUGGGACGAAAAAAGGGUAUUCUUACUCACUUGACGGUACCAGAGGAAUAAGCACCGGCUAACUCCGUGCCAGCAGCCGCGGUAAUACGGAGGGUGCAAGCGUUAUCCGGAUUUACUGGGUUUAAAGGGUGCGUAGUGGGUCUGUAAGUCAGUGGUGAAAGCCUUCAGCUCAACUGAAGAACUGCCAUUGAUGCUGAUGAUCUUGAGUACGAUUGAGGUAGGCGGAAUGUGUCAUGUAGCGGUGAAAUGCUUAGAAUAUGACACAGAACACCGAUUGCGAAGGCAGCUUACUAAGUCGUAACUGACGCUUGAUGCACGAAAGCGUGGGGGAG
rnacentral:rRNA from 1 species